rnacentral:lncRNA from 1 species
UGCAAUCCAUGCACAAGUCCAAGUUUGUAAACUUCGAAAACAUCAUCUUUACCGAUAACGCAAUAUGCCGUACGUUCUUGACCCCCCCCCCCUUCUUUUUUUUAUGCAACCGGGAAUUUUGAUCUUCCCUUGCAAAAGGCCUAGGAUUUGUGUCAAGCUAGCUACGGACCUGAGCUGCUCCCCCUUCUUCAGUUUCGGUGAAAGCAACAGUUCUCCAGACUAACAUUUGG